UACGUAGGGGGCAAGCGUUGUCCGGAUUUAUUGGGCGUAAAGAGCGUGUAGGCGGCCGUGUAGGUCCGUUGUGAAAACUCGAGGCUCAACCUCGAGACGUCGAUGGAAACCACACGGCUAGAGUCCGGAAGAGGAGAGUGGAAUUCCUGGUGUAGCGGUGAAAUGCGCAGAUAUCAGGAAGAACACCUAUGGCGAAGGCAGCUCUCUGGGCCGGCACUGACGCUGAGGAGCGAAAGCGUGGGGAGCGAACAGG
rnacentral:rRNA from 1 species